GCGGAGGUAUUCGGGGAGACAGGUGGUGCAUGGUUGUCGUCAGCUCGUGUCGUGAGAUGUUGGGUUAAGUCCCGCAACGAGCGCAACCCCUAUUGCUAGUUACCAUCAUUAAGUUGGGGACUCUAGCGAGACUGCCAGUGAUAAACUGGAGGAAGGUGGGGAUGACGUCAAAUCAUCAUGCCCCUUAUGACCUGGGCUACAAACGUGAUACAAUGGCUGGAACAAAGGGAUGCGAAGCAGUGAUGUGGAGCGAAACCCAUAAAAACAGUCUCAGUUCGGAUUGAAGUCUGCAACUCGACUUCAUGAAGUCGGAAUCGCUAGUAAUCGCGGAUCAGAACGCCGCGGUGAAUACGUUCUCGGGGUUU
rnacentral:rRNA from 1 species